rnacentral:rRNA from 1 species
GCGGACGAGGUGAGUAACACGUGGGCAACCUGCCCCUAGCUCUGGGACAACUCCGGGAAACCGGGGCUAAUACCGGAUACGACGUCGAGUGGCAUCUUUCGACGUGGAAAGUUUUUCGGCUAGGGAUGGGCCCGCGGCCUAUCAGCUUGUUGGUGAGGUAACGGCCCACCAAGGCGACGACGGGUAGCCGGCCUGAGAGGGCGACCGGCCACACUGGGACUGAGACACGGCCCAG